UUCGUUUCAUGGAAUGUGAGGCUACAGUACAUGGCAUUAUUGGGAAAGUUCAAGAUGCUCUUGGCAGUUAUGAUCCUGUAAUUCUCACCGAUGGCCAGGGCAAUGAGAUACUUGACUCUGAAGGAACUAAAGGUGCAUAUUUGUCAAUUUGUUUGCAUUUUUAAUCUGUUUUAAACAUCAAAAGUAAUAUGACAAUUUUUCAUGGCAUGUCACCUCCACGUACUCAGGAUUCAUCUACUGGAAUCAAAAUGCCCGCAAGGUAUUUGCCAUUGCAGAGCACGACUUCACAGAAUUUCAAGGCAGCAAGAGGAAAAGAAGCUCAAGUCAGAAAGAUGAUGAAACAUCAAGUCUACAAGAUGUCUAUGAUAAGAUAGAAGAAGUGGUGCUGGCGUCACAGGGCCUUCAGCAAGUUAUCUCAACUAUCAAAGAGCUUUCUGAGCUGUCCAGUCAAACACCUGCCAAAACCUUGACUGAAGUCCAAACAGAAAAAUUAAAAGCAGCUUUCACUUGCAUAGUCUGCAAAGGACCCAUUGAUCAACCAGUAUUUGCCACCUUCUGUAGAAGCCUGAUCGGAUGCAAACUUUGUGUUGAUCAAUGGAUGGCUACUUCAUCACAGUGCUUAAAAUGCAGAGAGGAAGCUCUUAGCAACCAAAUCUUUCUUGCAGCAGGUCUCUCUGAAGCUUUGUUAGCUCUUGGUGACAUCAUUAGGGUAGAGUAGGCCUACAUUACCCAGGAAAAAAAUGUUUAGCUGUUCAGCAAUUCAAGUUUAGUUCAGUAGUUUAUUUGACAGUUGUUGUGUAAAGUUUUGUUGCACAACUACUUAAAACAAGAACUAAAAAGAAAUACUUUAAUUUAUCAGCGUCAUGUUGAUGCUUAAAUUUGUGUGUAAUAUUUUGUUUCUAGAAAAAACACUUGAUGGAAAGCAGCAUUGAACAAUUAGAAGGCAUGCUCUUUAAGAGUAUCUUUUAAAUUUACUAAACAGACCAAAGCCUCUU